AAAUUUCCGUUGUUGAGAUGGAGGCAACUUGGAUCGCGAGGUUUUGAUUGAGAGAGUUUCAAGCCUCGAGAAGGAGCUUUAUGAGUACCAAUUCAAUAUGGGACUUCUCUUGAUUGA